rnacentral:rRNA from 1 species
GCCCUUACAGUUUGAUCCUGGCUCAUAUUGAACGCUGGCGGCAUGCCUAACACAUGCAAGUCGAACGGCAGCACAGUAUGUAGCAAUACAUGUGGGUGGCGAGUGGCGGACGGGUGAGUAAUACGUAGGAAUCUGCCCUAUAGUGGGGGAUAACCCGGGGAAACCCGGGCUAAUACCGCAUAAUCUCUAUGGAGCAAAGCUGGGGACCUUCGGGCCUCGCGCUAUGGGAUGAGCCUACGUCGGAUUAGCUAGUUGGUGGGGUAAAGGCCCACCAAGGCAACGAUCCGUAGCUGGUCUGACAGGACGGCCAGCCACACUGGGACUGAUACACGGCCCAGACUCCUACGGGAGGCAGCAGUGGGGAAUAUUGGACAAUGGGGGCAACCCUGAUCCAGCCAUGCCGCGUGUGUGAAGGAGGCCUUCGGGUUGUAAAGCACUUUUAGUGGGGAAGAAUGGCUCAAGGCUAAUAUCCUUGAGAAGUGACGUUACCCAAAGAAUAAGCACCGGCUAACUGUGUGCCAGCAGCCGCGGUAAUACAGAGGGUGCAAGCGUUAAUCGGAAUUAUUGGGCGUAAAGCGCAUGUAGGUCGAUAUUUAAGUCGGAUGUGAAAGCCCCGGGCUCAACCUGGGAAAGCCAUUCGAUACUGGAUAUCUAGAGUAUGGUAGAGGGAAGUGGAAUUUCCGGUGUAGCGGUGAAAUGAGUAGAUAUCGGAAAGAACACCAGUGGAGAAGCCGGCUUCUUGGAUCAAUACUGACACUAAAGUGUGAAAGCGUGGGGAGCAAACAGGAUUAGAUACCCUGGUAGUCCACGCUGUAAACGAUGAGAUCUAGGCGUUGGGGAGCUUUGUCUCCCUAGUGCCGAAGCUAACGCGUUAAGUUCUCCGCCUGGGGAGUACGGCCGCAAGGCUAAAACUCAAAUGAAUCGACGGGGAAGGGC